rnacentral:rRNA from 1 species
GUGGGGAAUUUUGGACAAUGGGCGAAAGCCUGAUCCAGCAAUGCCGCGUGUGUGAAGAAGGCCUUCGGGUUGUAAAGCACUUUUGGCAGGGAAGAAACAGUGCGUGCUAAUACCAUGCGCGAAUGACGGUACCUGCAGAAUAAGCACCGGCUAACUACGUGCCAGCAGCCGCGGUAAUACGUAGGGUGCAAGCGUUAAUCGGAAUUAAUGGGCGUAAAGCGUGCGCAGGCGGCUUUGUAAGACGGAGGUGAAAGCCCCGGGCUCAACCUGGGAAGUGCAUUCGUGACUGCAAGGCUAGAGUGUGUCAGAGGGAGGUGGAAUUCCGCGUGUAGCAGUGAAAUGCGUAGAGAUGCGGAGGAACACCGAUGGCGAAGGCAGCCUCCUGGGAUAACACUGACGCUCAGGCACGAAAGCGUGGGGAGCAAACAGGAUUAGAAACCCGAGUAGUCC